UUACGGCCAUAUUAAGUUGAAACACCGGUUCUCGUAUGGUCACCGAAGUUAAAAGAUAAGCAACGUCGAGCCUCGUUAGUACCAAGAUGGGUGACCACUUGGUAAUACCAGAUGCUGUAAG